AUACAACGUAAAAAAAAAAAAAAGCCUUCAAAAAAAUUCUCUUUUCUGCCCUUUUGUUCUUCUUUUUCUUCUUUUAUCCAUUCACACAUUGUUUUUAUUGUUAACA
rnacentral:ribozyme from 1 species